rnacentral:rRNA from 1 species
AUACGUAGGUAGCGAGCGUUAUCCGGAAUUAUUGGGCGUAAAGGAUGCGUAGGUGGAUAUUUAAGUGGGAUGUGAAAUCCCCGGGCUCAACCCGGGAACUGCAUUCCAUACUGGAUAUCUAGAGUGCAGGAGAGGAAAGCGGAAUUCCUAGUGUAGCAGUGAAAUGCGUAGAGAUGUGGAGGAACACCGAUGGCGAAGGCAGCCCCCUGGGAUAACACUGACGCUCAUGUACGAAAGCGUGGGUAGC